GCCUUAUUAAUUAAAUAGUUGAAAGGUGCUUAUUUUAUUUGAUUAGUUGAUUUGGUGACACCUAGAUCAUCUUUUUCUCCUUGUGCCCCCUCUAGGAUGAACUACAUUAGUCUUAUAAUUGUUCAUGCUAAUAAUGAUCAUAUUUGAAAAUGGAAAAAAGAUGGUUACAUUGUCUGUGUUUAGUACAUAAUAUGUUGUUCGGGAUAUUCAUGUUGCAAGCUUUGGGUCUAUUCUCUGUGUACGGCAAUUUUUGAAGGAGAUAUCUAUGUAUACAACAAGCGAGGGACAAAUCAAGAAACUUAUAAGCUUAAGUCACAAUAUAAAAAAUUCGCAGAGGGAAAAAUUUGUCACUAGUCUAUUUUAUAUUGCAUAACUUUAGGUUUUUUAUUUUAGUCAAAUUUUGUCCAUGUUAAUUUGUUCCACUCUACGUCAGCCCUUUUUCAUCUAUGUCAGCAACAUUUGAUGGAGAAAAGAUGGAAAAUCCUAACGGUGCAAAACCUUAGAUAUCACUUUGUCA
rnacentral:misc_RNA from 1 species